rnacentral:lncRNA from 1 species
NNNNNNNNNNNNNNNNNCUGAGCUCCUGCAUCCCCAGAGCCCUUCCUGCAUCCCCCAGAGCCCGUCCUGCAUCCCCAGAGCCCUUCCUGCAGCCCCAGAGCCCUUCUUGAGCUCCUGCAUCCCCCAGAGCCCUUCCUGCAGCCCCAGAGCCCGUCCUGCAGCCCCCAGAGCCCGUCCUGAGCUCCUGCAUCUCCCAGAACCUUUCAUGCUCCCCUGGCAGCCCCCAGCAACCCCUGGGGAAGAGCCUUUCCCUAAAAUCCAUCCCAAUCCCCCGACGCAGCUCCAGAAUUCCCUGUCCUGAGCAGUUCCUGCCCCUCCACCGUCCCCCAGGAGGAAAUUCCCCUUUUUCUGGGAAGGGAAUCCCUUCCACUGCCCCAGGCUGGCCUUGGACACUUCCAGGGCUCCAGGGGCAGCCCCAGCUCCUCUGGGAACCCCUCCCCACCGGGAAUUCCUUCCCAAUGUCCCAUCCAAAGCCGCUCUCCUUCACCUUGGGGCGGUGAGCUGGAGGAAAGGGAGGAGAACCCAGAGCCGGGCAUUCCACACCCCGUUAAUCCCGUUCCAGAGCCCUAAUCCCUGGAUAAACGCAGGGCCAGUGCCCUCUCCCAGCCACCAGCCACCUCCAUCCUCCCCUGGAGAUCUGAGAACCCCAGCUCGCCCCUCCUGGCUCCAGAGGAGCUUCCCUGGGGAUUCCUCCAGCAUCUCCUCACCGCUCACCCAUGCUGCCUGCACGGUUUGGCCUCUGGAACACACCAAAAAAACCAAACAAACCCCCAAAAAAAAACACCAAACCACAAUAAAAGCAGGAAAAUCCACCCAGCCCCGCAUUCCUGGGCUUUUCCAGCGUCAAGGCACUCAGCAGCAGCUCCAGUGCCAGGCACAGACACCUCCAGGCCUGGGAGGAACUGGGGGAUUUCCCUUUCUUUUCCCUUUCUUUUCCCAUCCUUUUCCCAUUCUCGGGUCACCCCCCUCAUCAGCAGGGCUUGGAAAACCCCAAAACUCCCACA